rnacentral:rRNA from 1 species
GACGAACGCUGGCGGCGUGCUUAACACAUGCAAGUCGAACGGGCCUUGUCCCCUUUUUUUUUGGGGGUGGGGUUAGUGGCGAACGGGUGAGUAACACGUGAGUAACCUGCCCCUCACUUCUGGAUAACCGCUUGAAAGGGUGGCUAAUACGGGGUGUUCUGGCCUGCUCGCAUGGGUGGGUUUGGAAGGAUUCGACCGGUUUGGUUGUUUUGGUGGGGGAUGGGCUCGCGGCCUAUCAGCUUGUUGGUGGGGUGAUGGCCUGCCAAGGCUUUGACGGGUAGCCGGCCUGAGAGGGUGGGCGGUCACACUGGGACUGAGACACGGCCCAGACUCCUACGGGAGGCAGCAGUGGGGAAUAUUGCACAAUGGGCGCAAGCCUGAUGCAGCGACGCCGCGUGAGGGAUGGAGGCCUUCGGGUUGUGAACCUCUUUCGCCAGUGAAGAAGGUCCUGCUCUUUGUGGUGGGGUUGACGGUAGCGGGGUUAAUGAAGCGCCGGCUAACUACGUG